GAUGAACGCUGGCGGCGUGCCUAAUACAUGCAAGUCGAGCGAACAGACGAGGAGCUUGCUCCUCUGACGUUAGCGGCGGACGGGUGAGUAACACGUGGAUAACCUACCUAUAAGACUGGGAUAACUUCGGGAAACCGGAGCUAAUACCGGAUAAUAUAUUGAACCGCAUGGUUCAAUAGUGAAAGACGGUUUUGCUGUCACUUAUAGAUGGAUCCGCGCCGCAUUAGCUAGUUGGUAAGGUAACGGCUUACCAAGGCAACGAUGCGUAGCCGACCUGAGAGGGUGAUCGGCCACACUGGAACUGAGACACGGUCCAGACUCCUACGGGAGGCAGCAGUAGGGAAUUUUCCGCAAUGGGCGAAAGCCUGACGGAGCAACGCCGCGUGAGUGAUGAAGGUCUUCGGAUCGUAAAACUCUGUUAUUAGGGAAGAACAAAUGUGUAAGUAACUAUGCUCGUCUUGACGGUACCUAAUCAGAAAGCCACGGCUAACUACGUG
rnacentral:rRNA from 1 species